GGAGCUGUGGCAUAAUGGGUGAUGCUGAUGCCUACAGUGCCAGCAUCCCAAAAAGGCACUGGUUCAAGUCCUGGCUGCUCCA
rnacentral:tRNA from 1 species